rnacentral:rRNA from 1 species
UGGCGACCGGCGCACGGGUGAGUAACACGUAUCCAACCUGCCGAUAACUCGGGGAUAGCCUUUCGAAAGAAAGAUUAAUAUCCGAUAGGAUAUCAAGGUCGCAUGAUCUUGAUAUUAUAGAAUUUCGGUUAUCGAUGGGGAUGCGUUCCAUUAGUUAGUUGGCGGGGUAACGGCCCACCAAGACGACGAUGGAUAGGGGUUCUGAGAGGAAGGUCCCCCACAUUGGAACUGAGACACGGUCCAAACUCCUACGGAAGGCAGCAG